CGUAGGGGCGCAAGCGUUGUCCGGAAUUAUUGGGGCGUAAAAGAGCUCGUAGGCGGUUUGUCGCGUCUGGUGUGAAAAACUCAAGGCUCAACCUUGAGCUUGCAUCGGGUACGGGCAGACUAGAGUGUGGUAGGGGUGACUGGAAUUCCUGGUGUAAGCGGUGGAAUGCGCAGAUAUCAGGAGGAACACCGAUGGCGAAGGCAGGUCACUGGGCCACUACUGACGCUGAGGAGCGAAAGCAUGGGGAGCGAACAGGAUU
rnacentral:rRNA from 1 species